CUGGCAUGAUUGCAGAGGCCCUUGGAUUUCAUAUCUUAGACCAGGCUUAAAUCUACCAGAUCAGCUUUAAACUCUGCUGCUCUGUCUUUGGCCCGCUGAGAGUCCUGCAAAGGCAGCAGAGAGGACGCUCUUUCAUCUGGCAUUUUCCCGAAGAACCAUGAGAUUGCUGCAUGGGGAAUGGAGAUUCUUCUGCUCUUACAGCUCCAGCAAUCAGUGUAUCCCAGAGUGACAUGCACACCAGGCUGAGAUUAAACAUGGAACAAAACGUGGGGAGGCGUGGGCCCCUUUGAAGAUGAAUCCCAUGGGAAAAUGUUGCUUUGCACUGGAGGAAGUCCUGAUCGAUUUAAUGGCCGCAGAGUCAAAGAAAAGCCACAGAAGCAUAAGCCUUCAUCCUCUUCCUGACUGUGGUGGGGGAAGAAGCCAUGAAAUCACCUCUGCAGAGGAGGCUGAAAGA